GACGGAAGGUGCAAGCGUUGCUCGGAAUCACUGGGCGUAAAGGGUGCGUAGGCGGCUUGGUGGGUCUGGUGUGAAAGCCCUGGGCUCAACCUGGGAAUUGCAGUGGAUACUGGGCGACUAGAGUGUGGUAGAGGAUAGUGGAAUUUCCGGUGUAGCAGUGAAAUGCGUAGAGAUCGGAAGGAACAUCUGUGGCGAAGGCGACUAUCUGGGCCAACACUGACACUGAGGCACGAAAGCGUGGGGAGCAAACAGG
rnacentral:rRNA from 1 species